rnacentral:rRNA from 1 species
AUGCUAGCCAUGGACCAGCACCAGGAGGAGUCUUGUGUUCCCCCAGGGUUUAGGUUCCACCCCACAGAGGAGGAGCUGGUGGGGUACUAUCUGGCCAGGAAGGUGGCCGCCCAGAAUAUUGAUCUCGGAAUCAUCCAGGAGGUCGAUCUCUACCGGACCGAGCCAUGGGACCUCCAAGAGAAGUGUGGCGGCGGCAGGGGAGGACGGGGAACGCGUCAAGUGGCCGCGGACGAGCAGUCAUCGUCGGAGUGGUACUUCUUCAGCUUCAAGGACCGCAAGUAUCCAAGCGGCACGCGCACCAACCGCGCCACGGCGGCCGGAUUCUGGAAGGCCACCGGCAGGGACAAGCCGGUGACGUCAUCAAGGAGCCGCAGCGUCAUUGGCAUGAGGAAGACGCUCGUCUUUUACAGGGGCCGCGCCCCCAAUGGUAGGAAAACCGACUGGAUAAUUCACGAGUACCGUCUCCAAACCAGCGAGCACGGCCCCACCCAGGAGGACGGUUGGGUGGUGUGCAGGGCGUUCCAGAAGCCAACCCCGAACCAGAGGCAAUCCUACACGUUCCCAGCAUAUGCCACUGCUCUGGGCCUCGGGCGCUACUACGAUGCGCGGCCCUGCCUACACGGCCAAGGCGGUAACCUCCACUACCUGCAUAGCGCUGCUUCCACUGCCGGAGCUGGCGGCCUUUGCUUCCCCGGCCAGAGUGCCCAGUACUCCUCCGAGGACACGCUGGAGUGCAAGAAGGGCAUCUUCAACAACAUCCCACAGCUCAUCCAGAGCCCGCCGCCGGCGACCGCCUUUGCUGGUUGUAGUGAAGCCGGAUACGACCUAGUCCAGCCCAAACUAGCGGCGACAGGCAUCGACUGGAAUUUCCUUGACAUCUUGUUGUCAACGUCGCUGCUCCCCGACUCCUCCGCAGCCAGUGCUGCCUCAAACCUUCAGCUUCCCCUACACCAACCAUCGCUAAUUUAUGAGUGA